rnacentral:rRNA from 1 species
AGUGAACGCUGGCGGUAGGCCUAACACAUGCAAGUCGAACGGCAGCACAGUAAGAGCUUGCUCUUACGGGUGGCGAGUGGCGGACGGGUGAGGAAUACAUCGGACUCUACUUUUUCGUGGGGGAUAACGUAGGGAAACUUACGCUAAUACCGCAUACGACCUACGGGUGAAAGCAGGGGAUCUUCGGACCUUGCGCGAUUGAAUGAGCCGAUGUCGGAUUAGCUAGUUGGCGGGGUAAAGGCCCACCAAGGCGACGAUCCGUAGCUGGUCUGAGAGGAUGAUCAGCCACACUGGAACUGAGACACGGUCCAGACUCCUACGGGAGGCAGCAGUGGGGAAUAUUGGACAAUGGGCGCAAGCCUGAUCCAGCCAUACCGCGUGGAUGAAGAAGGCCUUCGGGUUGUAAAGUCCUUUUGUUGGGAAAGAAAAGCAGCAAGUUAAUACCCCGCUGUUCUGACGGUACCCAAAGAAUAAGCACCGGCUAACUUCGUG